rnacentral:rRNA from 1 species
CCAGACUCCUACGGGAGGCAGCAGUGGGGAAUAUUGCACAAUGGGGGGAACCCUGAUGCAGCGACGCCGCGUGGGUGAAGGAGCGCCUCGGUGCGUAAAGCCCUAUCGGCAGGGAAGAAACAGACGGUACCUGACUAAGAAGCCCCGGCUAACUACGUGCCAGCAGCCGCGGUAAUACGUAGAGGGCAAGCGUUAUCCGGAUUCACUGGGUGUAAAGGGAGCGUAGACGGCGACGCAAGUCUGGAGUGAAAGCCCGGGGCCCAACCCCGGGACUGCUCUGGAAACUGUGUAACUUGAGUGCAGGAGAGGUAAGCGGAAUUCCUAGUGUAGCGGUGAAAUGCGUAGAUAUUAGGAGGAACACCAGUGGCGAAGGCGGCUUACUGGACUGUAACUGACGUUGAGGCUCGAAAGCGUGGGGAGCAAACAGGAUUAGAUACCCCGGUA